CUGCCUUUCCUCCUCAACUUGCUUUUGGUCAUGCUGUUUCAUCCCAGCAAUAGUAACCCUAAGACAGAACCCAUGGAAAAGCUUCUCAUGGAAAAGAGCCUCAGCCAGCUGGAUCAGGCAGCAUCUCCCAAGAUCCCCAGGCCACAGUCCCUAUCCUUCAGAGGAAAGCAAGUCCCAAAUCCGUGGAACUUGAGCUCUUUCUGCACCUCACCUCCACCCCUUGCCCUGCUAACUCCACCAGGGCCUAUCCAGGGCAUUGGCAAGAGGAACAGUGUAAGU
rnacentral:lncRNA from 1 species